AAUGAACGCUGGCGGCAGGCCUAACACAUGCAAGUCGAACGUUAACGCACCUUCGGGUGUUAUUAAAGUGGCAAACGGGUGAGUAACACGUGGGAACGUACCUUAUAGUCUGGAAUAGCCCCGGGAAACUGGGAUUAAUGCCGGAUAUUCUCUACGGAGGAAAGAUUUAUCGCUAUAAGAUCGGCCCGCGUUAGAUUAGCUUGUUGGUGAGGUAAUGGCUCACCAAGGCUACGAUCUAUAGCUGGUCUGAGAGGAUGAUCAGCCACACUGGGACUGAGAUACGGCCCAG
rnacentral:rRNA from 1 species